rnacentral:rRNA from 1 species
UACAGAGGGUGCGAGCGUUAAUCGGAAUUACUGGGCGUAAAGCGUGCGCAGACGGUCAUGUAAGUCGGGUGUGAAAGCCCCGGGCUCAACCCGGGAAGUGCACUCGAAACUCACAGGCUAGAGUAUCGGAGAGGUUGGUGGAAUUCUCGGUGUAGAGGUGAAAUUCGUAGAUAUCGAGAGGAACACCGGUGGCGAAGGCGGCCAACUGGACGAAUACUGACGCUGAGACUCGAAAGCGUGGGGAGCAAACAGG